rnacentral:rRNA from 1 species
UACAGAGGGGGCUAGCGUUAUUCGGAAUUAUUGGGCGUAAAGGGCGCGUAGGCGGCUUGGCGUGUCUUCCGUGAAAUCCCUCGGCUCAACCGAGGACGUGCGGAAGAAACUGCAAGGCUCGAGUCCGGAAGAGGGGGGCGGAAUUCCCAGUGUAGCGGUGAAAUGCGUAGAUAUUGGGAGGAACACCAGUGGCGAAGGCGGUCCCCUGGGCCGGAACUGACGCUGAGGCGCGAAAGCGUGGGUAGCAAACGGG